CUUCGGGCUCUGUGCAACGAGCCCCCGCCAACCCCGCCAGGCCCGGAAGGGAGCAACGGUAACGGGAAAGUUUCGUGUGCCGCAGAGAACCCGAAGUUC
rnacentral:SRP_RNA from 1 species